CUGGCGGCCGACUAACACAUGCAAGUCGAGCGCGCCUUCGGGUGAGCGGCGGACGGGUUAGUACGCGGAACGUGCCCUCUCUACGGAAUAGCCUCUGGAAACGGAGAGUAAUACCGUAUACGCCCUUUGGGGGAAAGAUUUAUCGGAGAAGGAUCGGCCCGCGUUAGAUUAGGUAGUUGGUGGGGUAACGGCCUACCAAGCCUACGAUCUAUAGCUGGUUUUAGAGGAUGAUCAGCAGCACUGGGACUGAGACACGGCCCAGACUCCUACGGGAGGCAGCAGUGGGGAAUCUUAGACAAUGGGGGCAACCCUGAUCUAGCCAUGCCGCGUGAGUGAUGAAGGCCUUAGGGUCGUAAAGCUCUUUCGCCUGUGAUGAUAAUGACAGUAGCAGGUAAAGAAACCCCGGCUAACUCCGUGCCAGCAGCCGCGGUAAUACGGAGGGGGUUAGCGUAGUUCGGAAUUACUGGGGCGUAAAGCGCGCGUAGGCGGAUUAGAAAGUUGGGGGUGAAAUCCCGGGGCUCAACCCGGAACUGCUCCAAA
rnacentral:rRNA from 1 species